CGGUAUAGAAGGACAGAGUCUCGGGCGCACACGCCUCCUACCAAAAUCACAGCCCCGAGUGGAGCCCGAGCUCUCAUUCACAGCUUUCUAGAGAAAUCUGAGCCCGAACCUGCCAGCAUAGGGGAUCUCACCCACCCAGUUCAGCAGCGCGGACACCUGCAGAAACACAUUCCCAAAGCAAGGCUGGGCGGCCGUGUGAAGAUUGGAGGCAUAGCUAUGUGGUGUGGAAGUGGGCCAUGAAAAAUGCAACCUCCACUCUCCCCUUGGACCCAUAGUAAUUUAUCCUGGAAACAUUGUUGAGUUCCCUGAACUGGAAGUAAGCAAUGGCCUCGGUUUUGCUUCUCUUUUGGAUGGCCACCACCACAUAGGGCCUGGAUGUGAAAGAAGACCCUGCAUUUGUCUGUUCCAGUGGCAGUUUGGUAGUAAAACAACUGUUGAAUGAGCCACGGUUUCAGCAGACCAUCAGGUGAAUGGGACCAGUCUCUCUUCUUCCAAAAUACCAAAAAUUAAGCACUUGGAAAGGAGAUUUGGCCAAGAUGACCCAUUUACAGGCCGGACUCAGUCCAGAGACUAUAGAGAAAGCACGCCUGGAACUGAAUGAAAACCCGGAUGUUUUACAUCAGGAUAUUCAGCAAGUCAGGGACAUGAUCAUCACCAGGCCUGACAUUGGAUUUUUACGUACAGAUGAUGCCUUCAUCCUGAGAUUCCUUCGAGCCAGGAAGUUUCACCAAGUGGAUGCCUUUAGACUCCUGGCCCAGUACUUCCAGUACCGCCAGCUAAACCUGGACAUGUUCAAAAACUUCAAGGCGGAUGAUCCUGGCAUUAAGAGGGCGCUGAUUGAUGGGUUUCCUGGGGUGCUGGAAAACCGCGACCACUACGGCAGGAAGAUUCUUCUGCUGUUUGCAGCCAAUUGGGAUCAGAGUAGGACAGCUUUCCUGCUCGCUUUGGAGGAGUCCACUUUGUCAACCAGCCCUGGUACAUUCAUGCCCUGUACACGCUUAUCAAGCCAUUCCUUAAAGAUAAGACCAGGAAACGGAUUUUCCUGCAUGGAAACAAUUUAAACAGCCUUCACCAGCUAAUACAUCCUGAAUUUUUGCCCUCUGAAUUUGGAGGAACCCUUCCUCCCUAUGACAUGGGAACUUGGGCCCGGACGUUACUUGGUCCUGACUACAGUGAUGAAAAUGACUAUACUCACACCUCCUAUAAUGCAAUGCAUGUGAAACAUACAUCCUCCAAUCUGGAGAGAGAAUGCUCACCCAAGCCGAUGAAAAGAUCUCAGUCUGUGGUAGAAGCCGGGACCCUGAAACAUGAGGAGAAGGGAGAGAAUGACAACACUCAGCCACUCCUGGCUCUGGACUGAACUCCGAGUCACCCCAAUGCUCCUGCACACUGGCCCUCAGUGGCAUCAGCCACCCAGGAAGCACAUGUGCAACUGACCCACACAGACACGUGUGUUCCGCUUGACACCAGGUCCUCCACACCCGACCCCAGCAAUGACUGUCAUCAGCCAUCGGUCUGAGCAGCCAGAGUUGGACAAAGACUUGAGAGAUACUUUCUUUUUGAGUGAGGGGACUGGAGGAUGAUGUAAGGCAUUUAUGUACAAAAGAUUCUCCCUCCCUCCAUAUUUAUGGUAUUAAAUGGACUGGAAAAAAAUAAAAAAAAACUAAAUUUGAUGCACACACUGCAUUAGGACAAGGAUUUUUCUGAGGUCACACACAGGGACCCUCUUCAGUUUUUGAAAAUUAAGUGCAUUUCCAAGUAAAUACAUCAGAGUUAAACUGUGCAGACACAAUUGUCAAGUUUAAUGUAGUGCAAAGCCCUGAGACAAUAGUAUCUCCAGUAAUAUCCAUUCUUAUUGAAUUAUUUUCUUUGACCUCAUCACCAGCAUCAAAUUGUUCAGCCUACGAGCAUGUUCUCAUAGGCCUGGCUAUUUGCAGAAUUUACUUAUUUUGAUAUCCUGCAAAAAGCGAUUUUGACAUCACAUCUUGUGUGAGGCCAUAGGCUGACUAUCAUGACCUUGAAAGAAGACACAUACAAUUUGAUAUAUGAUUAGUUCAUCUUAGCAACAUGAGUUCCCACAGGCAGCCUGAGAACCCAUUAGUACAGUGUGUGUCUGCAGAGCGGAGACAUCUCAUCAAAAACCCAUGUCAGUGAUUAAUGAAUCCAUUCAAGUUGCCUCACUUGGGUCACUACAGCAAAGAAAAGUGCCACUGAACCACUUAACUCCCUCCCCCCCUACCCCCCCACCCUGAAAACAUUAAAGGUAUAGGGAAAGAUCAUGGCUGUUGGUGACACAGUAAACACUCAAUCAUGGGGGAAGACAGAAAAGGAUGACUAGAUAUGCAAGUACUGAAAUAAGAGAA